GGGUGGGUGGUGUAAUUGGUAACAUGCGUGAAAAUUCCUUUUCCUCACGCGCUGCGUGGUUCGAGUCCCGCCUCGCCCA